AAUAAAUUAUCAUCCCAACAAAUCAUGCAAAGGUGAAAGAUAAACAAAUUUUUAUUUCUCACCUUUCGUUUAAGCGAAAUGAGCACCAGUCCAGGGAUAUAUUUUGAUAUUGGCAAGAAGGCUAAAGAUGUUCUGCACAAGGAUUAUUCAAAUCUAUCACCAAUUCACUUUCAUUACCAGUUUAUGGAUUACAACGUCGACCUCUCUUGUCAAUUAAAUGAAAUUCUACCUGGAUUCAGGAGCCUUUUCAAAUGCACCAUACCUGAUUCAGGGAAGGUAGAAGUACAACAUUUGACUAACUACACUGGAAUUACUGGAUGCAUUGGACUGGAAGGAAACUUAGAAAAAGGAUAUGAUCCUGUUCUGAACUUGUCGGGUCUUGUGGGAACAAACAUCUUGUCACUUGGAGCCAAUGUUGCUUUAGACAUACCAACAAGAACAUUCAGUAAUCUGAAUGCUGGAUUAAACCUCAACACUCCCUUCCUUGUUGCUUCCUUGACCACGCAUGACAGUUUCGACAUUCUGAAAGCCUCCUGUUAUCACGAAGUGAACCCCCUAAGCAAAACCGCCAUUGCAGCAGAGCUGAAGCAUAGCUUGUCAAUGGGGGAGACUAGUGCCACCAUUGGUGCUCAGCAUGCAAUUCUUCCGGAAACGUUAGUAAAGGCUCGAUUUGACACCUUUGGCAAGGCAGGUGCAGUUAUUCAACAAGGGUUCUGGGAGAGGUUUUAUGUGUCUAUGGCUGGAGAAGUGGAUUUUAAGACCACAGAUAAUAAUUUACAUCCCAAGGUUGGAGUCUCUGUGGCUUUAAGACCCUAGUCAGUGCCACUGAGAUAAACUUUCAUAUCCAAUUCAGAGGUUGUUGGUUUUAAGGAGACUUCUAAAUGAUGGCAUAAAACGGAUGAAACACAUCGAUUUUCGCCAUCCAUUUUCUUCAAUAUUCAACAACAUUGAGUCUGUGAAACAAAUAGCUCCAGAAUUACUUCUUUUCUUGGAUGAGAUGGUAGCUUCCGGUGUUACUUAUGUUCUUUAUGUAGUUAUGAAUGCCUUUAUUAUUUGUAAACUGGAAGUAGUUUCAUAUUUUCUUAAGAGAAAACAGUUAGCACUGCGUUACAAUCAAACCUUCAGAUUCCGAUGGAAACAUUUAUAGCAUAACAUCAUCGA